AUUGAACGCUGGCGGCAGACCUAACACAUGCAAGUCGAGCGGAUGAAGGGAGCUUGCUCCUGGAUUCAGCGGCGGACGGGUGAGUAAUGCCUAGGAAUCUGCCUGGUAGUGGGGGAUAACGUCCGGAAACGGGCGCUAAUACCGCAUACGUCCUGAGGGAGAAAGUGGGGGAUCUUCGGACCUCACGCUAUCAGAUGAGCCUAGGUCGGAUUAGCUAGUUGGUGGGGUAAAGGCCUACCAAGGCGACGAUCCGUAACUGGUCUGAGAGGAUGAUCAGUCACACUGGAACUGAGACACGGUCCAGACUCCUACGGGAGGCAGCAGUGGGGAAUAUUGGACAAUGGGCGAAAGCCUGAUCCAGCCAUGCCGCGUGUGUGAAGAAGGUCUUCGGAUUGUAAAGCACUUUAAGUUGGGAGGAAGGGCAGUAAGUUAAUACCUUGCUGCUUUGACGUUACCAACAGAAUAAGCACCGGCUAACUUCGUG
rnacentral:rRNA from 1 species